rnacentral:lncRNA from 1 species
GCAGACUCCGAGAGCAGGCCUUGUGCAGUGUCCCAAGGGGCUGUGGUGAAGUGUCUGAGGAAAAAUGAAUGCUGAUACAUGGUGAUUCUGAGAAGAAUUUGCAAGGUUUGACCUUAGAAUUUAUGGAAUGUCUUCCCUGGUCAUUCAGAAUUAUGGCUAGAAGUUUCUAGAAACCGUCAAGGUUAAUACCUUUCAGAGUAGGUGAUUACAGGCAGGAAGAGCUUUGAUGUGGUUUACAAAGCCCAUCAGUUCUGUGUCAUUCCCUGUAAGCAACAGGAGAUGGUGGUUGUGAUUAGCAAACUGCAUGUGUUAUUUGUUUGACUCCUUGUUAUUGUCCUUACGGAGGAUUUUUUUUAUAUAAGCCAAAUUUUGUUGUAUAUAUUCAUAUUCCACGUGACAGAUGGAAGCACGUCCUAUCAGUGUGAAUAAAAAGAACAGUUGUAGUAAAUUAUUAAAGCCAGUGAUUUCAUGGCAGGUUACCCUACCAAGCUGUGCUUGUUGAUCUCCCAUGACCAUACUGCUUUUACAAUGUACAAAUAGUUCCUAGGUGACGAGACCCUCCUUUACAUAAUGCCGAUGACAGCCUUGCUGGGAACUGCGGUCCUUCUGCUGUGACAGCCAGCUCGAAAACAGGUCCUGCCUGGAGCUUGCCACACACUUUAGGGAGACAUAAGAGCUGUCUUUCCCCAGCGUCAGGGACAAAGCUACCAUAAAGAAGUGGAAAAGUCUUGGCUCUCCAGCCUGGGACAGAGGUCUCUCUGGAACCCCAAGGAAGAGCAGAAAUGAUCCUUGCCUGCCACUGCACACAAUGUGAUGGUGGAAAAUCCAUCAAGGAAUAAUUGUGAGAUAAUGACCGACAGUUCAGGCGCAAAGGGAAUUCAUGCUGUGUAAAGUGGGUGGAAUUCGUUUGCAAGCUAUGCAAAGCCUGAUCUUACUCACCAGGAGGAUGGAAAGGGUUUUUUUAGUUAUCUGAGCUCAGCUGAGUUAUCACGCUUGGAGAACCGAUUUAAAGGAAUUAGAAUAUGAUUUCUGAAUACACAUAACAUUAAACUCUUCUCUUUUUCUAUGGUAAUUUAGUUAUGGACGUUCAGCGUCUCUGAGUUAUUGUUAUAAAAGACUUGUCAUCACCGCACUGUGCUGUAGGAGACUGGGCUGAACCUGUACAAUGGUAUACCCUGGAAGUUGCUUUUUUAAAAAAAAAUAAUAAUAAACACCUAAAAUC